rnacentral:rRNA from 1 species
GACGAACGCUGGCGGCGUGCUUAACACAUGCAAGUCGAACGGAAAGGCCCUGCUUUUGUGGGGUGCUCGAGUGGCGAACGGGUGAGUAACACGUGAGUAACCUGCCCUUGACUUUGGUAUAACUUCAGGAAACUGGGUCUAAUACCGGAUAGGAGCUCCUGCUGCAUGUUGGGGGUUGGAAAGUUUCGGCUGUUGGGGAUGGACUCCCGGCUUAUCAGCUUGUUGGGUGGGUAGUGGCUUACCAAGGCUUUGACGGGUAGCCGGCCUGAGAGGGUGACCGGCCAAAUUGGGACUGAGAUACGGCCCAGACUCCUACGGGAGGCAGCAGUGGGGAAUAUUGCACAAUGGGCGGAAGCCUGAUGCAGCAACGCCGGGUGCGGGAUGACGGCCUUCGGGUUGUAAACCGCUUUCGCCUGUGACGAAGCGUGAGUGACGGUAAUGGGUAAAGAAGCACCGGCUAACUACGUG